UACGUAGGGUGCAAGCGUUAAUCGGAAUUACUGGGCGUAAAGCGUGCGCAGGCGGUGAUGUAAGACAGGUGUGAAAUCCCCGGGCCUAACCUGGGAACUGCAUUUGUGACUGCAUAGCUAGAGUCCGUCAGAGGGGGGUGGAAUUCCACGUGUAGCAGUGAAAUGCGUAGAGAUGUGGAGGAACGCCGAUGGCGAAGGCAGCCCCCUGGGAUGAGACUGACGCUCAUGUACGAAAGCGUGGGGAGCAAACAGG
rnacentral:rRNA from 1 species